AGCGAACGCUGGCGGCAGGCUUAACACAUGCAAGUCGAGCGGGCCCUUCGGGGUCAGCGGCAGACGGGUGAGUAACACGUGGGAACGUACCCUUUGGUUCGGAAUAACGCUGGGAAACUAGCGCUAAUACCGGAUACGCCCUUUUGGGGAAAGGCUUGCUGCCGAAGGAUCGGCCCGCGUCUGAUUAGCUAGUUGGUGGGGUAAUGGCCUACCAAGGCGACGAUCAGUAGCUGGUCUGAGAGGAUGAUCAGCCACACUGGGACUGAGACACGGCCCAGACUCCUACGGGAAGCAGCAGUGGGGAAUAUUGGACAAUGGGCGCAGGCCUGAUCCAGCCAUGCCGCGUGAGUGAUGAAGGCCUUAGGGUUGUAAAGCUCUUUUGUCCGGGACGAUAAUGACGGUACCGGAAGAAUAAGCCCCGGCUAACUUCGUG
rnacentral:rRNA from 1 species